rfam:Homo sapiens chromosome X, GRCh38 reference primary assembly.
GCCAGGCGUGGUGGUGCAUGCCUGUAAUCCCAGCUACUCAGGAGGUUGAGGCAUGAGAAUUGCUUGAACCCAGGAGGCGGAGGUUGCAGUGAGUCGAGAUCGUGCCACUGCACUCCAGCCUGGGUGACAGAGCAAGACUCUGUCUCUA